UACGUAGGGGGCGAGCGUUGUCCGGAUUUAUUGGGCGUAAAGAGCGUGUAGGCGGCCAGGUAGGUCUGCUGUGAAAACUCGAGGCUCAACCUCGAGACGUCGGCGGAAACCAUCUGGCUAGAGUCCGGAAGAGGAGAGUGGAAUUCCUGGUGUAGCGGUGAAAUGCGCAGAUAUCAGGAGGAACACCGGUGGCGAAGGCGGAUCUCUGGGCCUUACCUGACGCUCAGGUGCGAAAGCUAGGGGAGCGAACAGG
rnacentral:rRNA from 1 species